rnacentral:rRNA from 1 species
AGAGAGAGACAUGCGCGCAUAUCAAUAAGCGGAGGAAAAGAAACUAACAAGGAUUCCCUUAGUAACGGCGAGUGAAGCGGGAAGAGCUCAAAUUUGAAAUCUUCAAGGUUUUACCUUGACGAAUUGUAGUUUAAAGAAGUGUUUUCUGCUGAAGUUUUGGUAAAAGUUCUUUGGAAUAGGACAUCAUAGAGGGUGAGAAUCCCGUAUUUGACCAUUAUUUUCAGCUUUGUGAUACACUUUCAAAGAGUCGGAUUGUUUGGGAAUGCAGUCCAAAAUGGGUGGUAAAUUUCAUCUAAAGCUAAAUAUUGGCGAGAGACCGAUAGCGAACAAGUACCGUGAGGGAAAGAUGAAAAGAACUUUGAAAAGAGAGUUAAACAGUACGUGAAAUUGUCAAAAGGGAAGCGUUUGACACCAGUGUUGUUUUCUCGAAAAUCAAUUAAAAAUGGCUCGAUUUUGUAUUGCUUGAGACCUUAAAAGCUCACUGUACAUUUUUCGUGUCUUUUUUAAUGCACUUUUCGUUUAACAAGUCAACAUCAGUUUCUUUUGUUGUAAAAGGGUCAUUGGAAGGUGGCUUUCUUUUCGGAGAAAGUGUUUAUAGCCUUUGGCCUCUGCAAUCGAAGAGACUGAGGUCUGCAGCGUAGACUCUUCGGGGUUAGAUACAUUUGUGCUAAGUUAUAGCUUUUUAUAGACAACUUGUUGACUAUAAUUAGUCUUGUAGCUUACUCGCUUAUGCUAUUUUACCUACGCUUAGGAUGUUGAGUCGUAGAGCACGCA